AGGUCAUUGCUAUUGGGGUCCGAUUUAGGCCAUGCUAGUUGCACGAGUUCAUACUCGUGGCGAAAAGCUCAGUAACACGUGGCCAAACUACCCUACAGAGAACGAUAACCUCGGGAAACUGAGGCUAAUAGUUCAUACGGGAGUCAUGCUGGAAUGCCGACUCCCCGAAACGCUCAGGCGCUGUAGGAUGUGGCUGCGGCCGAUUAGGUAGACGGUGGGGUAACGGCCCACCGUGCCGAUAAUCGGUACGGGUUGUGAGAGCAAGAGCCCGGAGACGGAAUCUGAGACAAGAUUCCGGGCCCUACGGGGCGCAGCAGGCGCGAAACCUUUACACUGCACGCAAGUGCGAUAAGGGGACCCCAAGUGCGAGGGCAUAUAGUCCUCGCUUUUCACGACUGUAAGGCGGUCGUGGAAUAAGAGCUGGGCAAGACCGGUGCCAGCCGCCGCGGUAAUACCGGCAGCUCAAGUGAUGACCGAUAUUAUUGGGCCUAAAGCGUCCGUAGCCGGCCACGAAGGUUCAUCGGGAAAUCCGCCAGCUCAACUGGCGGGCGUCCGGUGAAAACCACGUGGCUUGGGACCGGAAGGCUCGAGGGGUACGUCCGGGGUAGGAGUGAAAUCCCGUAAUCCUGGACGGACCACCGAUGGCGAAAGCACCUCGAGAAGACGGAUCCGACGGUGAGGGACGAAAGCUAGGGUCUCGAACCGGAUUAGAUACCCGGGUAGUCCUAGCUGUAAACGAUGCUCGCUAGGUGUGACACAGGCUACGAGCCUGUGUUGUGCCGUAGGGAAGCCGAGAAGCGAGCCGCCUGGGAAGUACGUCCGCAAGGAUGAAACUUAAAGGAAUG
rnacentral:rRNA from 1 species